rnacentral:tRNA from 1 species
GGUCGGUUAGCUCAGUUGGUAGAGCGUGGUGCUAAUAACGCCAAGGUCGCGAGUUCGACCCUCGUACUGACCA